rnacentral:misc_RNA from 1 species
UCCUCAUUUAAAUGAGGCAGUCCGUCCAGAGUGCUCCAGCCUCUCGGCCGGGUGGCAACAGGACGCAAGGGUUGCGCUCGUUGCGGGACUUAACCCAACAUCUCACGACACGAGCUGACGACAGCCAUGCAGCACCUGUGUACGCUGGUAUUGCUACCUCGUCAGGCUUUCACCCUUCUACUACGUACAUGUCAAGGCCAGGUAAGGUUCUUCGCGUUGCAUCGAAUUAAGCCACAUACUCCACCGCUUGUGCAGGCCCCCGUCAAUUUCUUUGAGUUUUAAUCUUGCGACCGUACUCCCCAGGCGGCGCAUUUAACGCGUUAGCUUCGCCACGAACGGGGUCGAUUCCGCUCACAGCAAAUGCGCACCGUUUACGGCUAGGACUAC